GACGGGGGGUCCAAGCGUUGUUCGGAAUCAUUGGGCGUAAAGCGUGUGCAGGUGGCCUUGUAAGUUGGAUGUGAAAGCCCCGGGCUCAACUCGGGAAGUGCAUUCAAAACUACAAGGCUUGAGUAAGGAAGAGGGUCGUGGAAUUCCUGGUGUAGUGGUGAAAUACGUAGAUAUCAGGAGGAACACCGGUGGCGAAGGCGGCGACCUGGUCCUAUACUGACACUCAUACACGAAAGCGUGGGGAU
rnacentral:rRNA from 1 species